rnacentral:lncRNA from 1 species
CUAGACACAAUAAGUAAAUAUACACAAAAGAGGGAGACCUAAAAAAAACAAGUAUACAUAGAAUAGAUUCGAAAAAAAUGGUGUGAAAGAGCAUAUAGCCGUUAAUACAAGGCUUUCUGCUCGUUACAGAGGCAUAUAUCCGUAGUUUGUGAGGCUUUCUGCGGGAAAAGCACACGCCCUCAACUACGUGGCUUUCUGUUUUAAGUACUUUUUUCUUUCGCGAGCACGUAACUAUAGAAAUGAGAAUAUAAUCUUUAAAACUUAUAAUAAGAAAUCAAUAAAAAAGAAUAAAAUAUGUGAGAUAAAAUAAAUAUCGGGUAUUGAGCGAAAUAAAUAUGGGAAAUAUCUUAAGAACGACUAGUCUAUUUAUCAUAAUUUUAAUCGUCAUUCUCGUCGCGUUCAGAAAACGCUUGCGUUACAUGUGCAGUAAUCGCCAUGGUACGAAUAAGCGUAGAGACGCAAAAGGCAAUCAGACUUUCGUUUCUCCCAAGUGCAGUCCGCCACGAGAAACGUUAGAACUAAAGCCGCCUUCUCCCUCUCAUACUUCGUAUUAUCCGAAGAAGACAUCUAAUAAACAGAUCG